rnacentral:rRNA from 1 species
UACGUAGGGUCCGAGCGUUGUCCGGAAUUAUUGGGCGUAAAGGGCUCGUAGGCGGUUUGUUGCGUCGGGAGUGAAAACUUACAGCUCAACUGUGAGCGUGCUUCCGAUACGGGCAGACUUGAGGUAUUCAGGGGAGAACGGAAUUCCUGGUGUAGCGGUGAAAUGCGCAGAUAUCAGGAGGAACACCGGUGGCGAAGGCGGUUCUCUGGACAGUUCCUGACGCUGAGGCACGAAGGUCAGGGGAGCAAACGGG